AUUGAACGCUGGCGGCAUGCCUUACACAUGCAAGUCGAACGGCAGCACGGGGGCAACCCUGGUGGCGAGUGGCGAACGGGUGAGUAAUACAUCGGAACGUGUCCUGUAGUGGGGGAUAGCCCGGCGAAAGCCGGAUUAAUACCGCAUACGCUCUACGGAGGAAAGGGGGGGAUCUUAGGACCUCCCGCUACAGGGGCGGCCGAUGGCAGAUUAGCUAGUUGGUGGGGUAAAGGCCUACCAAGGCGACGAUCUGUAGCUGGUCUGAGAGGACGACCAGCCACACUGGGACUGAGACACGGCCCAGACUCCUACGGGAGGCAGCAGUGGGGAAUUUUGGACAAUGGGCGAAAGCCUGAUCCAGCAAUGCCGCGUGUGUGAAGAAGGCCUUCGGGUUGUAAAGCACUUUUGUCCGGAAAGAAAACGCCGUGGUUAAUACCCGUGGCGGAUGACGGUACCGGAAG
rnacentral:rRNA from 1 species